UUAAAAGUACGGCAAACUUAUGGAAACAUAAGGACGCAAAGUUAGAUGCCUUAAGCUGGAUAAGUAUGGUAGAUCAACUGCAACA
rnacentral:ncRNA from 1 species